CUACGAAAGGCAUGAAAGCGGGGUCAAAGGAGGCAGGGCUGGGGAGAUAUUUAUUGCACAUGGUGCCGGAGAAUGGCUAUGAGCAAGACAGAGGUGGUCUCUGUUCUCAAGGCAGCUACAGAGGGACAGCCACUCCCCCAGCCCCCAACUAUGAGCUUCCCAGAACUGGCCUGAAGGUGCAGCUGCAAUGAUACGGGCUCACAUCCUGGCAUCCUCAUUUGCUAGCGUGAAAAUCGCAUUUCUCCAAACCUCGGUUUUCUCAUCUGAAAA
rnacentral:lncRNA from 1 species